CCCUGGGUGGCUCAGUCGGUUGAGCGUCUGACUUCGGCUCAGGUCAUGAUCUCACAGCUCGUGAGUUCGAGCCCCACGUCGGGCU
rnacentral:tRNA from 1 species